rnacentral:misc_RNA from 1 species
CUCAAUUUGGAUUUGGUCCAUUUGGGGCGGUACUAAGAGCCCCUUUUAAGUGUUUCCUUGAAGCAGGCCCAGGAGGGUCCUUUCAAGAUUGGUGCACACACGGUGCCUGCUGGCCUCGGAAUUCGCCUAAUUUGAAGCCGUAAGACGUGGGUGCUGACCUUGUCAUGCUCCCGAAGUGGUUGCCUUGAAGCAAGGCCCAGGUGGGUUCCUUUUCAGGGAAAAUGGGACACCGAUUUCCAAUCUGGAUUCUUCUACUUGUAGGCGGGAAUCGGGACCCUUGAAAAGCGGUUGCCUUGAAGCAGGGCCAGGCGGGUCCCUUUCAGGGUUGGUGCAACAACGAUGCUGCUGGCGUCGGAAUCGCCUACUUGUAGGCGUAUGACGUGGGUGCUGACAUUGUCAUGCUCGCGAGUGGUUGCCUUGAAGCAGGGCCAGGCGGGCUCCUUUCAGGGACAACUGCGACAACGACGCCAUGUCGGAAUCGUCUACUUGUAGGCGUGAAUCGGGACCCUUGUACAGCGGUUGCCUUGAAGCAGGGCCAGGCGGGCUCCUUUCAUGGUUGCUGCAACAACGAUGCUGCUGGCGUCGGAAUCGCCUACUUGUAGGCGUAUGACGUGGGUUCUGACAUAGUCAUGCUCGCGAGUGGUUGCCUUGAAGCAGGGCCAGGCGGGCUCCUUUCAGGGACAACUGCGACAACGACUCUAAGUCGGAAUCGUCCCUUAGAAAUGUUUGUCCCUUCUAAUUUCGUACCCAUCGGUGCUUUCUUGGUUCUUCUUUUGCUUCUAGUGGCUCGUUUGGCGCUUGCGUCAGGUUGGUUGCUAGUGGCUGGGUUGAUCCUUGGGAUUGAUGACCGGAACGGUGCGUGAGUGGUGAUUGGAAUGCUACGGGUGGUUGGUCGUCUGCUUGUGCAGCAACGUCCACCGGUACAUACCUCUUCAAUUGAGUUCAAGGCAGAUUUUGCCUUGAGCACUGCGUGGGAUCUCUGUGUUGCAUACCUAUAUGAAGGAAUCGUAUCGCCGUAACAGUGUCCUUGUUCAUUGCGCGCCGCUCUUGUGGCGCGGGUUGAACCUUGAAGUAUUCUCUGUGAUCCAUGCUACUGGUGCAUAAGUGUUGGUUUCAUGGCCCAUGGAGCGUUGCUUGGUCUCUCGGAUAUGGAACCUUAUGUGGGUAUGGGGUUGUUAUGGCCUUGUUUUUGCCCCAAAUAAGCGUUCUCGCUUCUCUAAAAACGACGCCGGUCGCGUGUUCACAUGUUGGU